rnacentral:rRNA from 1 species
GCAUAUGAGCAAGCGGAGGACAAGAAACUAAAAAGGAUUCUAUCAGUAAUGGCGAGUGAAUGGCGAUGAGCUCACAUUGGAAAUCGGGGCCUCUUUGGCCUUGAAUUGUAGCCUCGAGGUGUGCUACCAGUGGAGGCGCAGAUGUUGGCCUCUUGGAAGAGAGCAUCAGUGAGGGUGAGAGUCCCGUCUGUCUUUCGCAGCCCUCCGCGCACGGUGCCCUUUCUGCGAGUCAUGCUCCUUGGAAUUGGAGUGUAAAAAAGGUGGUAAAUUUCAUCUCAAGCUAAAUAUCUGAUCGAGACCGAUAGAAAACAAGUACCAUGAGGGAAAGAUGAAAAGGACUUUGAAAAGAGAGUUAGAAGUGCCUGAAAUUGCUGAAAAUGAAGAGAAUGGAAUUAGCACAGCUUUGCGAGAUUGUCACGUGGUAAAGUUCACCAGCGACACGUGUUGCUUCUUGCCUCGCGCGUCCACUCCAGCUUGUGGCCGAGGAAACCGCACGGGACAUGGUGCUCAGCUUGCGGGCGGGCAAGUGUCCUCUGCAGAACUCGCUCAUGAACUGAAGUUUGCCUGUCCAGUUGCAGCGUCUUGGUCUCUAUGAGCCUGGACGUUCUUCCUGGCAUUGGGACGAUGAACUGGUUCCUUUCAACCCGUCUUGAAACACGGACCAAGGAGUUUAACGUAUGUGCGAGUCCACGAGUGGUGAACGCUUGCUGGCAGAGUGAAAGCAACUGCUGGGAUGUGUGCGUCAGCAGCCAACCUAUUGAUUGAGACAGGCUUGAGAUCGAGCACAUCUGUUAGGACCCGAAAGAUGGUGAACUAUGCUUGAGAAGGGCAAAGUCAGGGGAAACUCUGAUGGAGGCUUGUAACGAUACUGACGUGCAAAUCGUUCGUCGCACUUGGGUAUAGGGGCGAAAGA